ACGUGCUUGCACUGAAUGAGAUUUUAACACGAAGUGAGUGGCGGACGGGUGAGUAACACGUGGGUAACCUGCCCAGAAGCAGGGGAUAACACCUGGAAACAGAUGCUAAUACCGUAUAACAGAGAAAACCGCCUGGUUUUCUUUUAAAAGAUGGCUCUGCUAUCACUUCUGGAUGGACCCGCGGCGCAUUAGCUAGUUGGUGAGGUAACGGCUCACCAAGGCGAUGAUGCGUAGCCGACCUGAGAGGGUAAUCGGCCACAUUGGGACUGAGACACGGCCCAGACUCCUACGGGAGGCAGCAGUAGGGAAUCUUCCACAAUGGACGCAAGUCUGAUGGAGCAACGCCGCGUGAGUGAAGAAGGGUUUCGGCUCGUAAAGCUCUGUUGUUAAAGAAGAACGUGGGUGAGAGUAACUGUUCACCCAGUGACGGUAUUUAACCAGAAAGCCACGGCUAACUACGUGCCAGCAGCCGCGGUAAUACGUAGGUGGCAAGCGUUAUCCGGAUUUAUUGGGCGUAAAGCGAGCGCAGGCGGUCUUUUAAGUCUAAUGUGAAAGCCUUCGGCUCAACCGAAGAAGUGCAUUGGAAACUGGGAGACUUGAGUGCAGAAGAGGACAGUGGAACUCCAUGUGUAGCGGUGAAAUGCGUAGAUAUAUGGAAGAACACCAGUGGCGAAGGCGGCUGUCUGGUCUGUAACUGACGCUGAGGCUCGAAAGCAUGGGUAGCGAACAGGAUUAGAUACCCUGGUAGUCCAUGCCGUAAACGAUGAUUACUAAGUGUUGGAGGGUUUCCGCCCUUCAGUGCUGCAGCUAACGCAUUAAGUAAUCCGCCUGGGGAGUACGACCGCAAGGUUGAAACUCAAAAGAAUUGACGGGGGCCCGCACAAGCGGUGGAGCAUGUGGUUUAAUUCGAAGCUACGCGAAGAACCUUACCAGGUCUUGACAUCUUCUGCCAACCUAAGAGAUUAGGCGUUCCCUUCGGGGACAGAAUGACAGGUGGUGCAUGGUUGUCGUCAGCUCGUGUCGUGAGAUGUUGGGUUAAGUCCCGCAACGAGCGCAACCCUUAUUACUAGUUGCCAGCAUUCAGUUGGGCACUCUAGUGAGACUGCCGGUGACAAACCGGAGGAAGGUGGGGACGACGUCAAAUCAUCAUGCCCCUUAUGACCUGGGCUACACACGUGCUACAAUGGAUGGUACAACGAGUUGCGAAACCGCGAGGUUUAGCUAAUCUCUUAAAACCAUUCUCAGUUCGGACUGUAGGCUGCAACUCGCCUACACGAAGUCGGAAUCGCUAGUAAUCGCGGAUCAGCAUGCCGCGGUGAAUACGUUCCCGGGCCUUGUACACACCGCCCGUCACACCAUGAGAGU
rnacentral:rRNA from 1 species